GCCUGGCUGGCUCAGUUGUUAGAGCAUGUGACUCUUGAUCUCGAGUUAUGAGUUCAAACCCCAUGUUGGGCA
rnacentral:tRNA from 1 species